rnacentral:lncRNA from 1 species
CGUGGGUCUCCAGCCCUGCGGACCGCUGGCGAGGCGCUCCCCUGCACACACCGGACCGGCUCCUCCCUCCGCCGGCUUCCCCUCCUUAAAGGGGCCACGAAGCGUGGGGCGGCACCGGUUCCCUGCCCGCCCCCCGACUGCCCGCCCCCCGGGGCCCGGGCGCACCUCCCCAGGUAGGAGCAGCUGUGGCGGCGCGGUAGGAGCCCCACAGCGUCAGGGCGGGGAGGGCGCUUGGAGAUCCCCCGGGUCGGCCCCCUCCGCACCCCGAUCGACUGAGGCCCGGAGAGUUCAGGAACCGGCUCGGGAGACCUCAGCGCCCGAACUCGGAGUUUUCGGACUUUUCAGGCCUCUGCCAAGGGCUUGGACUCGCAGGUGAAAGGACGGGCUCAUCUCACUUUUUUGUCCUGAGAGGAUGGUGGAAAGCUGCACUUGAAGUCCAACUCUGUCCUGGGGGAAUAAUUAUGUUCCCUGUCUUGGGAGCCUUUCUUCAGGGAGCUUGAUGGUUCCAACCCACCCAGGAGCCUGGGACAUCUGUGCCCCUGGGCAAUCCCCUGCAGUUUCCUGAUUCCAAGAUGAGGGGGUAGAAUCCGAAGAUCUCCAAGGCCUUGAUGAGUGCUACCAGUCUGCAAAUUCCCAAGCCAAGUUCUUCAAUGAAUCAAAUUUCCUCCAGUAGCCAUUUCUACCAAAGGAGCAACUGUUUUUCCUUCCCACUGACAUGGCUAUGUAUUCGAACUGGAUAUAGGUGAGAGGCAUUUUUGUCCUAGCUUCUCGGGCCCCUCCAAGGAGCUCCAAGAGGCUUAAGGAUCCCAGCCAUGUUGGGAUAAAAAUACCCAAUCAAUCAAUAAACAUUUUAUUUAAAAAUGAUUUAUUUAAAAAAUCACACAAUUUGAGAGCAAAUACAGAAGAUAUGAAUUAGCAAAACGAACAAAAUUAAAAUCUCAUACAAUCGCAGGACACUGGGACCUGAAGUCUUGGAGAGGAUGUAAUCACUAAGUCAUCCCAAGGAAGAGUGGGAUGCCUACAAGAGAGGGAUGCCUACAAGAGAGGGAUGCCUAAAUUGGUUACCCCUAAGCCCACCGACUUUUAAGGCAUGUGUAAGUGAGUGGGAACCUGCAAAAAGACUGGAAGGAGCAGCCAGAGAGGUAGGAAGAAAACCAGGAGUGCCUGUUGUCACGGAAGCUGAGGGCAAGGAGGACAGUGGUUGGGAGAAUCUGAUGCAGCAGCUCCAAGGACCAUGGCCCCAGGAACUAGGCACAAGUGACAGGAGACACUUGCUAUGUCUAAACCCAGUGCACCCUCAGCCCGGCCUCGCCUUUUCAAGGACGGCUAGCACAGGCCAUCAUCCUGGCCCACGAUGAAGGUGAGCAUCAAACUCCAAUUUCUGAAGAGGAAACUGAAGACCAGAGAGGGGAGGUAAACAUCCCAAAGUCACCAGCAAGUCAGUGGGAGACACAACUUUAACCCUAGUUUUGACUGGCAGUCUGUGGGCAUCGAGGCCACCAUUCCAUGUACCUAAUGUGUGUCUGGCAGUGUUCCAGGCCUCACCUGCAUCAUUUCUAAUCCUCUCAACCAGAGGAUCAGAGAGGUGGCGUUUUUACCCCUAGUACACAGAGGAGGCGCUUGGGGUUCAGAGGCACGUGUGGAACUAGACCGACGCCACUCACCCCAGCAGGUGGCCAAGCGGGAUGGGAGCGCGGGUCUCCCCAUCCCCAGCGGUGACGGGCGGCGGCUCUUUCCUGAAGAAUGGGGCGGCGUCCGCAACGGGAACCGCUGGAGGCGCUCCCCGGGACCCUGGCCCGCCCUCGCCCCCGCGCAUGCCUGGCCGCUGAGGCGUGAGAGCCGCCGCCCGGGGCCUCCCCCCGCGCGCCUUGCACAACCGGCCCAGGUAAGUGCUGCGUCUCUGGGCAAUUAUCGCCCUCCCGCCGCCGGGGCUGGCCGCGCACAGGGCCCACGGCCAAGGCACUCGCAGCCACCCAAGGAGAGCUGCACGGUCUACGACGGCCGCCAGCGCGCGCGAUUUCACAAGGCCCGGGAGCGGGGACGGGGCGGGGCGGCGGGGGCGGUGACGUCACGCGCAGCCACGCCCCGCGGUUGCCCCGCCCCCGCGCUGGGCCGGGCCUGGGGAGGAAGCGAUGCGAGGCCACCUGUCCACCUGCGCCGCUUCGUCCUUCCUCCUCCUCCUCCCUGUCAGCUGUUUUUCUUUCUUCCCAUCUCCCAUCUCUUCCUUUUUAUCCCUCUCAUUCCUCCCUCUUUCCGUCCGUUUCCUUCUCCCUUCCCCAUCUCCUUCCUUUUAAUUUUCCUUUUCUCCUCCCUCCCGCCUUCCUUCUCUCUGCUUCCUUUCUCUUCCUCCCUCCCUCCUUCUCUUCCGCCUGCUUCCUUUCUUUCUCCUCUCUCUCCUUUCUUCCUUUCCUCCUCUCCUUUUUCUUUUUCUUUUAUUUUCUUUCUUU